rnacentral:ncRNA from 1 species
UGCUUCCAUGUUGCUUUGGCCUGGCUCAAAGCGGAUGGAAAGCG